rnacentral:rRNA from 1 species
UACGAAGGGGGCUAGCGUUGCUCGGAAUCACUGGGCGUAAAGCGCACGUAGGCGGAUUGCUAAGUCAGGGGUGAAAUCCUGGAGCUCAACUCCAGAACUGCCUUUGAUACUGGCGACCUUGAGUCCGGGAGAGGUGAGUGGAACUGCGAGUGUAGAGGUGAAAUUCGUAGAUAUUCGCAAGAACACCAGUGGCGAAGGCGGCUCACUGGCCCGUAACUGACGCUGAGGCACGAAAGCGUGGGGAGCAAACAGGG